rnacentral:snRNA from 1 species
AUCGCUUCUCGGCCUUUUGGCUAAGAUCAAGUGUAGAAAAUUUCAGACAUAGGAAAUGGAUGAUACUUUUGGAAAAAUCAGAACCAGUUUGAAAAUAUUUUCUUUACCACUUCAAGACUCUUAACAUUGGCUUUGUGCUCACAGGGUUUAUUUUA